AUUGAACGCUGGCGGCAGGCUUAACACAUGCAAGUCGAACGAGUGGCGGACGGGUGAGUAAUGCAUGGGACUCUAGCUUAUGGAGGGGGAUAACUACGGGAAACUGUAGCUAAUACCGCGUACCAUAGGAUGAGCCCAAGUGGGAUUAGGUAGUUGGUGAGGUAAAGGCUCACCAAGCCGACGAUCUAUAGCUGGUCUGAGAGGAUGACCAUCCACACUGGAACUGAGACACGGUCCAGACUCCUACGGGAGGCAGCAGUGGGGAAUAUUGCACAAUGGGCGCAAGCCUGAUGCAGCCAUGCCGCGUGUAUGAAGAAGGCCUUCGGAUUGUAAAGUACUUUCAGCGGGGAGGCGUUACCCGCAGAAGAAGCACCGGCUAACUCCGUGCCAGCAGCCGCGGUAAUUC
rnacentral:rRNA from 1 species